rnacentral:rRNA from 1 species
GACGAACGCUGGGGGCGUGCUUAACACAUGCAAGUCGAACGGAAAGGCCUGCUUUCCCUUGUGGAUUGCGGGUACUCGAGUGGCGAACGGGUGAGUAACACGUGAGUGAUCUGCCCCCAACUUGGGUAUAAGCCUGGGAAACUGGGUCUAAUUCCCGAUAGUACUGCAGGGUGGUGCCUGUGGUGGAAAACGAUUUUCUAGUGGUUGGGGAUGAGCUCGCGGCCUAUCAGCUUGUUGGUGGGGUAAUGGCCUACCAAGGCGGCGACGGGUAGCCGGCCUGAGAGGGUGGACGGCCACAUUGGGACUGAGAUACGGCCCAGACUCCUACGGGAGGCAGCAGUGGGGAAUAUUGCACAAUGGGCGGAAGCCUGAUGCAGCGACGCCGCGUGGGGGAUGACGGCCUUCGGGUUGUAAACUCCUUUCGACCGCGAGGAAGCCACCUGGUUGGAAGGGUGGUGACGGUAGUGGUAGAAGAAGCACCGGCUAACUACGUG